AGCAAGAGUUCAGCAGAAGUAAGAGGUUC
rnacentral:piRNA from 1 species